rnacentral:rRNA from 1 species
ACACUGACGUCGCGACGCAUAUCAAUAAGCGGAGGAAAAGAAACUAACAAGGAUUCCCUUAGUAACGGCGAGUGAAGCGGGAAGAGCUCAAAUUUGAAAUCUUCAAGGUUCUACCUUGACGAAUUGUAGUUUAAAGAAGUGUUUUCUGUUAGUGGAGUGGCAAAAGUUCUUUGGAAUAGGACAUCAUAGAGGGUGAGAAUCCCGUAUUUGACUCAUUCUUUCUAGCUUUGUGAUACACUUUCAAAGAGUCGGAUUGUUUGGGAAUGCAGUCCAAAAUGGGUGGUAAAUUUCAUCUAAAGCUAAAUAUUGGCGAGAGACCGAUAGCGAACAAGUACCGUGAGGGAAAGAUGAAAAGAACUUUGAAAAGAGAGUUAAACAGUACGUGAAAUUGUCAAAAGGGAAGCGUUUGACACCAGUGUUGUUUUUCCGAAAAUCAAUUACGAAUGGCUUGAUUUUGUGUUGUAUUGACCUUAUCAGCUUUCUGCACUUUUUUCGAGUCUUUCUUAAUGCACUUUUUCGGUUAACGAGUCAACAUCAAUUUCUUUUGUUGUAAAAGAGUAUUCGGAAGGUGGCUUUCUUUUCGGAGAAAGUGUUUAUAGCCCUAUACUUCUACAAUCGGAGAGAUUGAGGUCUGCAGCGUAGAUCCUUCGGGGUUAGAUACAUUUGUGCUAAGUUGUAGCUUUUCAUAGACAACUUGUUGACUAUGUUUAGUCUGCGGCUUACUCGCUUGUGCUAUUUUACCUACGCUUAGGAUGUUGAGUCGUAGAGCACGCAG